UACGGAGGAUCCGAGCGUUAUCCGGAUUUAUUGGGUUUAAAAGGGUGCGCAGGCGGGAGAUUAAGUCGGCGGUGAAAUUUUGCAGCUCAACUGUAAAAGUGCCUUCGAAACUGGUUUCCUUGAGUGUAGAUGAAGUAGGCGGAAUUUGUGGUGUAGCUGUGAAAUGCUUAGAUAUCACGAGGAACUCCGAUUGCGCAGGCAGCUUACUAAACUACUACUGACGCUCAGGCACGAAGGCGUGGGGAUCAAACAGUAUUAGAUACCCCUGUA
rnacentral:rRNA from 1 species